AUUCGUACAAUUUGUUCACACGGUGUUGGAUGGUUGCCGACCAGUAGGUCUUAGUAGGCGGUGCUUCGGUGCCGUCGAAAGGUCCGAAAGACGGUGGCUUUCGUCAUCGUGUUGGCUUGAUGGAAAUGCGCGCACCCGGUUGAGGGCCUUUCUUGACAUUUUGUUGACAUGAUGAUGCAAGAUGGUUGUCGGCAAGUAGGUCUCAGUAGGUGGUGCUUUAAGAGCUGCUGAAAGGUUCGAACGUUGGUGGUCUAUGUUGAUGUGUCGGCUUAAUGGAAAGAUGGGCGGGCGUUCCAAAAAAUGAUUUUGUUUCCAAUUGGCCCUCGGUUGGGUGCACGUUCGUACAAUUUGUUGACACGGUGUUGGAUGGCUGCCGACCAGUAGGUCUUAGUAGGCGGUGCUUCGGUGCCGUCGAAAGGUCCGAAAGACGGUUGCUUUUCGUCAUCGUGUUGCCUUGAUGGAAAUGCGAGCACCCGGUUGAGGGCCCUUCUUGACAUUUUGUUGACAUGAUAUGACGCAAGAUGGUUGUCGGCAAGUAGUUCUCAGUAGGUGGUGCUUUGAGUGAUGCUGAAAGGUCUGAACGUUGGUGGCCUAUGCUGAUGUGUCGGCUUAAUGGAAAGAUGGCCCUCGGUUGGGUGCACGUUCGUACAAUUUGUUCACACGGUGUUGGAUGGUUGCCGACCAGUAGGUCUUAGUAGGCGGUGCUUCGGUGCNNNNN
rnacentral:lncRNA from 1 species